rnacentral:ncRNA from 1 species
AGCCUCGCGAGAGUCUGUCUGGAGGAAGCCCGAGUGCAAAGCUGUGAGCCGACGAACAGAAAUGGCAUAUAAGGCCCAGUCCGCGGGUAAGUUAGCACAACAUAACGAAGCCCCGGGUUCAGUGGAUAGGGUAAAUGCCGCGGUUGUGCAGCGACAGUUCACGUU